CAGAAGCCCGCACCAACACCACAACAGCGAUAGAGGGAGAUCACGCCAGCUUUGUGUGGACGCUGCCAGAAGUACGGAGUGAGUUCUCAAUUAGAACGCCACCUGGGAAGGGGAUGCUGACAGUGCAUGGUGCGAAAAUAUACAUAUGGAUUCAGUACAAAAGUAGGUUGAAGGUCGUGGGAGUUACACGCUUUCAAAACAUGAGCAUGUUGAAGUUUACCCUCUACAAAGUCACAUCAGCUGAUGCAGGCAAAUAUUUCUGUAGAAGAUCCAACGAAGUGAUCCCUGGCAGUCAACACUUUCUGGUGGUAACUGAUCCUGCAGGAACGAAGAGAAGUAUUACAACUAUUAUACAUAUCUUUCAUUAAACAAGAAAACAUCUCAAACGCUGUUGUGGUCGCUGUAUCGUGCUCUGCUGCUGCUGUAGCUCUUGUUGUUGCUGUUGUCUUCCGACGUCGACGACGGAAGAUAAGGCAGGGUCGAGUGUGGUACAAUGGACGUGUCUACCUUACGUGAUUCCAGAGCAAGAGGAAUAUAGUUUCACACAAAACAGCAUUUUAUCAAAGCAGCUGGUAUCCACGAAAGAAAUGGAUAAGAACAAACUGUUUUUGAUAAUUUCUCUUUUGAAUAACCAGGUUAAUUACCUUCAUAUCAUCCAUGCAUGAAACAUUGAACUGCCAUAUAGAUCCAUCAA